UUAACAAUUACAACUGAAAAAAACCAUUAUUAACUGGUUUACGUAUUUGUUUUUCAACAACAGGUUCAAAAGAUAAUGAUGCAGUGGUGGGAAGGAACAGAAAGUUAAGUGUUGGACAGUAUGACAAUGAUUUCCCUGGGCAGUCACUUUAUAGCGGGUGUGGAUGGAUGAAGUCUCUUGUUCCUGACCAGGCUGUAAAUCCAGGAUCACUAAUCCCCGUGGGGGAGACCAAAGAGAUGUCGUGUUAUCAAGAUGAAAUAUACGGAGGAAUCUUCUCCCUAGCCAGAAAUGGAAAUGAAGAUGCCCCAUCCACACCAGCUUUUUCACUGCCACCAGAGACACCAUAUGGUAAGGAAGUGCUUUUCUUCUAUUUCUUUCUUUAUUUUAAUAGUACAAUUAACAUUUUACCUAUUACUGAAGAGAAAUUAUGUUUUUCCUUCUGUCUUAGUGAGAACGUCUCCACUGUACCAUCAGCAGAUUUCCUCCAGCCAAAAGGUCAUCAGCCCAUCUGGGCUGUACAAAACCAGUCCUGAAUCUCAGAGUUACACAGAAGCCCUUAACCAUCCUGCAAUAGUGUCUGACAAAUCCAUCGACGCUAACCCUGCUUUGCUGAGACCCAACACGCAGGUGGAUCCUUCCUUUCAACGCUGUUUAGUGUCCUCAAGUCCAGCCUCAAGUAACAGUUCUGUGCCAGUGGGAGAACAGAAAGGUAGGAAAUGAUUGUCUGAUCUGAAUGUUUAGUUCUCAUUACUGUAGCUUCCAGCCAGUGUGUUACAUCUAAAUCUUCGUUGCAGACCAUUUGGCCACCAACUUUGAUGUGUAACCUGUCAUGAUGUUGUUGCCCACCAUCUGGAAAUUAUCUCUUUCAAAGAUGUUGCUUGUAUGUCUGAGAUGGAAC
rnacentral:lncRNA from 1 species